rnacentral:misc_RNA from 1 species
UGUUGUAGAAGAACAGAAGGAAAUUCAGGGGGAACUAUUUUCGAAAUCCUUGGUUUGUUCUGUUGUUUCCGAAAAAAAAAGACGAAACGAAAAUUUUCUUUGGCUUUUCUGGUUCUGUUUCAGAAGAGUUCAAAUUCCAAAGGUUAGAAUUUUGGGUAUUGGCAAUUUAGGUUGGAAUUUCUUCUACCUUCGCUGGUUACUUCGAAAGAAUGUAGAGAUAAACACAGGGAGUUGAGAAG